rnacentral:lncRNA from 1 species
AAUGAUGAAAUUAUAAAUUAAUAAAUAAUAAAAUUAUGGUUUGACAGCUUAAAAUUUGGCCUCUCCUAAAAGAAUUUCUAAAUUUGCCCGUGUGAAAAUAAGGAAGACAAAUGAUCAUACAACUGGCCAAUCCAAAGCAAAUGAUGUGAAAAAGUUCUGUCGAGGGUAUAGUUGGUAGUUUUAGCUCCUGAACCUUUUUCUGGUGGCAAUUUUGCAUUACUUUUCAUUGUGCUCCAUCAUUAUACCAUAAAAUUUACCCGCCACUAAGGCUUGCUUGGUAUGAAGGAUGGAAUGGAGUGAGGAUGGUAUCUUUGUAAAUCACAUGUUUCAGUUUCAUAACCACUUUCCUCCUUUGUAGCUUAACUGUCAGAUUAACUAAGCUUUAUGAAUCUUAACCCUUUGAUUAAUAGCCUUUUCCUAUAAAUCACCUGGUCUUGUUGCAAGAUAGAUUUGGCUUGUCUAAUAUGAAGUUAUGAUGAUUGCCCUCAACUCUGUUACGUCUUUGCUGAAUAAAAUUGACAACCACUGAUGUAUGAAAAUAUUCAGAUUUAUGUGAAGAUUCUGAAAGUAAAAUUGAUUAACAAGUCAAAUACUUGGGUGUCCCUCGGCUUUGAUGGCUAGAUGCAUGUGUCAUUGUCAUUAAACCUUAGAUAUGGAUACGAGUCUGGGUAUGCUCAUUUUUUGUAAGUUUUUCCAUAUGUGUGGAUGAUCAUACCAUUAUUCUUGUGUCCAAGUAUUUGUCAUACAUGGGUGCUGUAGAGAAACUGAAGAGUCCGGGUAACAUAGAAAAAAUAAGCUUUAGUGAAUUUGGAGGUAUUCAUUAUUAUUGCAUGCUAUCGUGUAUUGCGAAAUUGUUUCGUUUGAUUAGUAGGAAAUUUCGUUAGCUAAGGUGUCAAGAAUUGGGAAAUUUCAUCUGUUGUCUGUGAACUUGUUCUUCACAUCAGGAUUCUUAUAGCACAUUGCGUUCGAAC